rnacentral:rRNA from 1 species
UACGUAGGGUGCAGGCGUUAAUCGGAAUUACUGGGCGUAAAGCGUGCGCAGGCGGUUUCUUAAGUCAGAUGUGAAAGCCCCGGGCUUAACCUGGGAACUGCGUUUGAAACUGGGAGACUUGAGUGUGGCAGAGGGGGGUAGAAUUCCACGUGUAGCAGUGAAACGCGUAGAUAUGUGGAGGAACACCGAUGGCGAAGGCAGCCCCCUGGGUUAACACUGACGCUCAUGCACGAAAGCGUGGGGAGCAAACAGG